UACGUAGGGCGCAAGCGUUAUCCGGAAUUAUUGGGCGUAAAGAGCUCGUAGGCGGUUUGUCGCGUCUGCCGUGAAAGUCCGGGGCUCAACUCCGGAUCUGCGGUGGGUACGGGCAGACUAGAGUGAUGUAGGGGAGACUGGAAUUCCUGGUGUAGCGGUGAAAUGCGCAGAUAUCAGGAGGAACACCGGUGGCGAAGGCGGGUCUCUGGGCCGGAACUGACGCUAAGGCGCGAACGCGUGGGGAGCGGAACAGG
rnacentral:rRNA from 1 species